GAACCAAGGUAUUGCAUGGUCCACGGACUCAAACCUAUGGGGAAACCAACUACUUAAAAUCAAGUUUUGGACAGAACCAAGGUAUUGCAUGGUCCACGGACUCAAACCUAUGGGGAAACCAACUACUUAAAAUCAAGUUUUGGACAGAACCAAGGUAUUGCAUGGUCCACGGACUCAAACCUAUGGGGAAACCAACUACUUAAAAUCAAGUUUUGGACAGAACCAAGGUAUUGCAUGGUCCACAGACUCAAACCUAUGGGGAAACCAAC